CUGCGAUAUUUUCAAUAUAAAUCACAUUUCUACACAAAACACAUCGACCUUUCAUAUCUCUAUCAAAAUCAAAACAUCUCACGAUCUGUUUGUUAUCCAGCCGUAUGUGUGUGUAUUUGUAUGUAUGUGAGUAUGCGUGUGUUUUGUACAAUAAAUGGAAGUAUGAUAGACGAGAGCUGUGAGAUGUUGAUGGGAGAUGGGCCUAGUGGGCCCAAUGAUCACGUGACAGAGGUGAUGAUGAUAUAACGGUCUAGGACCCAUGGGCCUUAAGAAGACUUUGCUAUCUCAACCGACCACCGACGACUGAACCUUGAGCAUUGAUGGUGACCUUUCCACUUAACUCACUGACAUGGCUCGUCGUUUUAGCAAACACUCUUCAUAUUUGUUAAGAGUAUAGUAUCUCUGCCCAAAAAUAGUAUGUUACUGCUCUUACUAUUUUUAUAUAUUCUUUUUAUUUUUAUUUUAUUAUAGCUCUAAAUGCUAAACAAAUCACUCAUAAAAUUUUUCUAGAUAGAUGCUCGUAUCACACAUUUUGGAAUUUAUUAUAUAGAUAGGAUGAAAAAGUGGGUCUAUAUAUACAUGUAUUUGACGGUAUGGUCCGUAUGGAUUGUGAAAUAACCAGCAGCUCCUAGUCCUAGCUAAGGACACCUGUAUGUGUGCACCUAUGUACAGAUGGCGUCAACAUUCCUUUUCAUUUUUAUUUUUUUUCGUCAACAUUCCUUUUAAUUUCUAUUGAUUUUAUAUGUUUUAAU
rnacentral:sRNA from 1 species